rnacentral:lncRNA from 1 species
UUCAAAUAUUAUAAAAUUCUAACUAUAAUAAAUCUUAUCCUUAACUAAAUUUUAAAGUCACCUUGGAUUUCUAUUUAAUUUCCACACAUAUUCAACUAAGAGCUUAUUUGUAGUAUUGUUUGAUAAAAUAUUGUCUAAAUAAAGUCAUUAAUAGAAUAACACUAUUAUUUUCCAACCUUCACCCUAUUAAUAUUUUGGGUUAAUUUCAUACAGCUCCCCAUAAACAUAUCGAAUAGCAAGUAUUCUUACAAAUUAAGUUCAAUUUUUCAUAUUUAUCCCCACAAAAGUCUAAUAAUAUUCAUAUUUAUUCCUCUAGUUUUUGUUACCAUUAUAGUACUGUUUAUUUUUUAACAGAAGAUAAAUGAAAUGAUAUUUUUGUCAUCACAAAUAUGUCCUUUCAAAAGCCUUACCUGUUAAAAUUAUACAGAAAUGUCCUCCCCAAAAUCCCCAACGGGCAUCUUCCUUCCUACCAUCAUAAAUAAUAUAAGAGGCAUAAAAAGAUCAAUUUAUCUUAAUCAUUAACCAGAGUCAAGUAUUUUAGCUAUGGUUAACUAUAUUUUUUUAACAGAUCCUAAUAGCAGAAUAUAUUUGAAAAUGUUAGGACAUCUGUAGAAAUAAAUAUAAAAAGUUAAACUUUAUAGGAAUAUAUCUAUUACUAUUCGAUAUGUUUACCGGAAUAUAUGCAAUAAACCAUAAUAUUUCUGUUUCUAAACUUAUCGUACAUUGUAACCACGAACCACUUUAAUAAUAAUAAUAUUAUUAUUAUUAUUGUUCUUGUUAUUAUUAUUAUUAUUAUUAUUAUUAUUAUUAUUAUUAUAUUAUCACAUGUUAUCUUA